rnacentral:rRNA from 1 species
GACGAACGCUGGCGGCGGGCUUAACACAUGCAAGUCGAACGAGCAGUCCUAACCUAGUUGGACGGGCGAGUGGCGAACGGGUGCGUAACACGUAGGUAACCUACCCUCGAGUGGGGAACAACCAUUGGAAACGAUGGCUAAUACCGCAUGAAGUCCUGAAUGCGCCUGUAUUCAGGAUGAAAACUCCGGUGCUCGAGGAUGGGCCUGCGGCGGAUUAGGAAGUUGGUGAGGUAACGGCUCACCAAUCCUGCGAUCCGUAGCUGGUCUGAGAGGAUGAUCAGCCACACUGGCACUGAGACACGGGCCAGACUCCUACGGGAGGCAGCAGUGAGGAAUAUUGGGCAAUGGGCGAAAGCCUGACCCAGCCACGCCGCGUGCAGGAUGACACCCCUAUGGGGCGUAAACUGCUUUUAUAUGGGAAGAACAACCCCGACGUGUCGGGGCCUGACGGUACCAUAGGAAUAAGGACCGGCUAACUCCGUG